CUCAGUUUAAAAUAGUUUUGUAAUCUAUAAUAUGGAAGAAAUUUUUUCUUUCAAUUGGGA
rnacentral:tRNA from 1 species